CCUACGGGUGGCAGCAGUGGGGAAUAUUGCGCAAUGGGCGAAAGCCUGACGCAGCGACGCCGCGUGAGGGAUGAAGGUCUUCGGAUCGUAAACCUCUGUCAGCAGGGAAGAACGGUCACUGUGCUAAUCAGCAGUGAAUUGACGGUACCUGCAAAGGAAGCACCGGCUAACUCCGUGCCAGCAGCCGCGGUAAUACGGAGGGUGCGAGCGUUAAUCGGAAUUACUGGGCGUAAAGCGCUCGUAGGCGGUAUGUCAAGUCAAGGGUGAAAUCCCCGCGCUCAACGUGGGAACUGCCUUUGAAACUGGCAAACUGGAGUGUGUGAGAGGAUAGUGGAAUUCCAGGUGUAGGAGUGAAAUGCGUAGAUAUUAGGAGGAACAUCAGUGGCGAAGGCGACUAUCUGGCACAUAACUGACGCUGAGGAGCGAAAGCGUGGGUAGCAAACAGGAUUAGAUACCCGAGUAGUC
rnacentral:rRNA from 1 species